ACGUGAGCAACCWGCCUMUGAGAGAGGGAUAGCUUCUGGAAACGGAUGGUAAUACCUCAUAACAUAAMGAAGCCGCAUGACUUUGUUAUCAAAGAUUUAUCACUCAGAGAUGGGCUCGCGUYUGAUUAGAUAGUUGGUGAGGUAACGGCUCACCAAGUCGACGAUCAGUAGCCGGACUGAGAGGUUGAACGGCCACAUUGGGACUGAGACACGGCCCAGACUCCUACGGGAGGCAGCAGUGGGGAAUAUUGCACAAUGGGGGAAACCCUGAUGCAGCGAUGCCGCGUGGAGGAAGAAGGUUUUCGGAUUGUAAACUCCUGUCUUAAAGGGCGAUAAUGACG
rnacentral:rRNA from 1 species